GACGAACGCUGGCGGCGUGCCUAAUACAUGCAAGUAGAACGCUGAAGGAGGAGCUUGCUUCUCCGGAUGAGUUGCGAACGGGUGAGUAACGCGUAGGUAACCUGCCUGGUAGCGGGGGAUAACUAUUGGAAACGAUAGCUAAUACCGCAUAACAGUAGAUAUCGCAUGAUAUCUGCUUGAAAGGUGCAAUUGCAUCACUACCAGAUGGACCUGCGUUGUAUUAGCUAGUUGGUGAGGUAACGGCUCACCAAGGCGACGAUACAUAGCCGACCUGAGAGGGUGAUCGGCCACACUGGGACUGGGACACGGCCCAGACUCCUGCGGGAGGCAGCAGUAGGGAAUCUUCGGCAAUGGACGGAAGUCUGACCGAGCAACGCCGCGUGAGUGAAGAAGGUUUUCGGAUCGUAAAGCUCUGUUGUAAGAGAAGAACGAGUGUGAGAGUGGAAAGUUCACACUGUGACGGUAUCUUACCAGAAAGGGACGGCUAACUACGUG
rnacentral:rRNA from 1 species